rnacentral:rRNA from 1 species
GUUUUUUUAUUCCACCAAACAGGCCCUCAAACUUAAGAGUUAUUCAAAUUAGGCACAGCUUAUUUGAAGCAGGAUACAACCUCCACCACCGGGUAAACAAGGGUAGUCAAAACCAAGUGGGCCUAAAAGCAGCCACCUUCUAAAAAGCGUCAAAGCUUAUCUACUCCAACCCAUAAUUUCUAAAAUACUCCCUAACCCUUCACUCCUACUGACCCCUUUUAUAUUAUUAUAAAGAUAAUCAUGCUAGAACUAGUAACAAGAAAUUGCCCUUCUCCACAAUGUAAUUAUAAACCAAAACGGACCAUCCAUUGGUAGUUAACGUAAAUGCAAAAUCCAUAAUAACAUACAACCAGAAAACCUUAUGGCCCCCCACGUUACCCUAACACUAGAACAUUACCGGAAAGAUUAAAAGAGAAAGAAGGAACUCGGCAAAUCUUAACCCCGCCUGUUUACCAAAAACAUCGCCUCUUGAUUAAUUAUAAGAGGUCCAGCCUGCCCAGUGACAAAAUUCAACGGCCGCGGUACACUAACCGUGCGAAGGUAGCAUAAUCACUUGUUCCUUAAAUAGGGACUAGUAUCAACGGCAUCACGAGGGUUAUACUGUCUCCUCUCUCCAAUCAGUGAAACUGAUCCCCCCGUGAAGAAGCGGGGAUUUAACUAUAAGACGAGAAGACCCCAUGGAGCUUUAAACCCAACAUACACCCCCCACCCAAACACCAACUUAACUUAAAGGGCCUGUAUGUUGGCUUUAGGCUGGGGGGGCCACGGAGUAAAAUUAAACCUCCACAACAAAUGGGCUAACACCCUUAUCCAUGAUUUUACAAAUCUAAGAAUUACCAAAAUAAUGUUUAAUGACCCGAUAAUUCGAUCAAUGAACCAAGUUACCCUGGGGAUAACAGCGCAAUCUACUUCAAGAGCUCUUAUCGACAAGUAGGUUUACGACCUCGAUGUUGGAUCAGGGUAUCCUAGUGGUGCAACCGCUAC